rnacentral:lncRNA from 1 species
GUCGGCAAUGGGAUGUGCAGCUUCGCAUCAUCUUAAGGCAGAUUUUACAGAUGCCCAUCGUCUGCUCAUUGACUCUCAGCAUCCCAAACGCCUCAGAGCUGUUUGUGAGUGCCCACGGAUUGAUGGCUGAAUGACUGAACACGCAGCACCACGAGGGCUGACAGUGCCCCAGUCUUGGCACUGACCAACACAGCUGUGCCCAGCUCCAGUGAGUCACCUCGGUAAGCACUGUGCUCCCGCUGCUUGCCGGGACCACGGGACCCAAAGGCCACCAGCCCGGUUUCGGUGCCCUGGUUUUCUUUGCUUGCCCGGCGGUUCCGCCCCACGCCCCACCCCGCAGCGGCGUUAAUGAUGGGGUAGGGAUUGCUCUGGGCUGGCGGGAGGUGUGGGUCACUCUGCCAGGGCAGUGAGCCGCGGUCAGUGGGACGCCGUGACACAGUGCCCCGAGCUGCAGCCAUCGGGGCUGGGCCAUGCUGCCCCAGGCAGUCCAGCCGGGGGAAGGUGCCCUCAGAGGGCCAGCCAGUAGGUGAUUGGGAUCAGUUUCCCC